UUUCAACAACGGAUCUCUUGGUUCUGGCAUCGAUGAAGAACGCAGCGAAAUGCGAUAAGUAAUGUGAAUUGCAGAAUUCAGUGAAUCAUCGAAUCUUUGAACGCACAUUGCGCCCCUUGGUAUUCCGGGGGGCAUGCCUGUUCGAGCGUCAUUACA
rnacentral:rRNA from 1 species